rnacentral:rRNA from 1 species
UUCAUCGAGAAAUCCUGAGCCUUUGGGUUCAGGGGGGAGUACCGUCGCAAGGCGGAAACUUAAAGGAAUUGACGGAACGACACCACCAGACGUGGAGUAUGCGGCUUAAUUUGACUCAACACGGGGAACGUUACUGCGUCAGCACAAGGCUGGGAUGGACAGGUUGAUCGCCCUUUCUCGAUUCCUUGAACGGUGGUGCAUGGCCGCUUCUGGUUGGUGGAGUGAUUUGUCUGGCUGAUUCCGUUAACGAGCGAGAUCCCCGCCUCCAAUUGGUCACCGGCCUCGUACUUUGUAGGGGAUUCAGUCUUUCUGCUGUUUUCAGUGGUUAGAUCUAUGAGCCCUGAGAGCGUCGGUGCAAAACAUCUCAGAGGGCCGGACACGCAUCCAAGUGUCGACAUAUUCAGAAGGCGACAGCAGGUCUGUGAUGCCCCCAGAUGUUCCGGGCUGCACGCGCACGACAUUGACUCGGUGAUCGCGCUGAACACACAAAAAAAGCCUCCCCUCUUUGCUUCCUCAGUGAGCAAUUUGGGGUGGGUUCCUACCUGGACGCGGAUGGGCCAUCUCAAAAGCCCGUGCCGUACUGGGGAUCGAUGGUUGCAACUGUUUGCCUUGAACGAGGAAUGCCUUGUAGGCGCAGGUCAUCAGCCUGCAUCGACUAUGUCCCUGCCAUUUGUACACACCGCCCGUCGUUGCUACCGAUGAUGUGGGGAUAGAGGACUGGAGAGGCUGUGGGAGAGACCCCUUCUGGGGGAAUCACUCAUUCGUGCCAAACCUGCCCAAUGUUCACGUGUUAGAGAUAGCAAAAGUCGUAACAAGGUUGUCGUAGGGGAACCUGUGACAGGAUCACU